GGCCUGGUCGGGCCUUAAGGGGUAUGAACUGUUACUGUUGAUUUCUCACCUUCUGGAGAAACUUGAUGUCCUUAAUUGGGUGUCUUGCGGAUCCAGGACCUUUACCUUGAAAAAAUUAGAGUGUUUAAAGCAGGCAUUUUUGCUCGAAUACAUUAGCAUGGAAUAAUAGAAUAGGACGGCAUGGUUUUAUUUUGUUGGUUUCUAGGAUUGACGUA
rnacentral:rRNA from 1 species